UGGAGAGUUUUGGAAGCUGUGAGCUCUGAUAGAGAAAUGUAUCAACCGCCACGAACAGGUUGGCGUAUUGGGGCGGAUUGUUCUGUCCUCUGUAUUUCAGACCAAAGCAAGACAAUGUUUAAAGCUCACUAUGGAUCUACUAACAGGCUGUCAGGCUGUCUAGUCACAGAGGAAGGCUGUGCUUC